UUUGGGAGGCCAAGGCAGGCAGAUCGCUUGAGUCCAGGAAUUCAAGAUCAGCCUGGGCAACAUGGCAAAACUCUGUCUCUACAAAAAAUAUACAAAAAUUAUCCAGGCGUGGUGGCAUGUGCCUGUAGUCCCAGCUACUCUGGAGGCCAAAGUGGGAGGAUUACUUGGUCUGGGAGGCAGAGGGUGCAGUGAGCCAAGAUCAUGCCACUACACUCCAGUCUGGGCAACAGAGUGAGACCGUCUAAAAAAAAAAAAAAAUUCCCAUAUAUUUCUACAUGUAAAUACAUAGAAAAAGGGCUGGAAGGAUAUAUAAUCAAUAUUAAACAGUGUUUAUCUCUGGAAGGAAAGGACCAGGACUUGGAAUAAUGGCAAGGAAGCCUUGUUUGUAGUUUUUUUUUUUUUUUCAUCGUUUUUGAGGAGUCUCACGCUAUCGCCCAGGCUGGAGUGCAGUGGUGUCAUCUCAGCUCACCGUACCUCCGCCUCUCCGCCUCCUGGGUUUAAUCGAUUCUCCUGCCUCAGCCUCCUCAGUAGCUAGGAUUACAGGUGUCUGCCACCACGGCCAGAUAAUUUUUUUUUUUUUUUUUUUUUUUUUUAGUAGAGACAGGGUUUCACCAUGUUAGCCAGGCUGGUCUCAAACUUCUGACCUCAAGUGAUCGGCCGGCCUCGACCUCCCAAACUGCUGGGAUUACAGGCAUGAGUCACCAAGCCCGGCUUUUUUUUUUUUUUUUUCUUUUUUUAAUUUUUUUUUUUUAUUAUACUCUAAGUUUUAGGGUACAUGUGCACAUUGUGCAGGUUAGUUACAUAUGUAUACAUGUGCCAUGCGACCGGCUUUUUUUGUUGUUGUUGUUUUUUGUUUUUGAGUUGGAGUCUUGCUCUGUCAUCCAGGCUGAAGUGCAGUAGCAUGAUCUCGGCUCACUGCAACCUCCACCUCCUGGGUUCAAGCCAUUCUCCCGCCUCAGCCUGCCGAGUAGCUGGGACUAUAGGAGUACACCAUGCCCAGCUAAUUUUUUGUAUUUUAGUAGAGAUGGGGUUUCACCAUGUUGCCCAGGCUGGUCUCAAACUCCUAAGCUCAGGCAAUCCGCUCACCUUGGCCUCCUAAAGUGCUAGGACUACAGGCGUGAGCCACCAUGUCCAACCUGUAGUUUUGUUUUUUUUUUGAAUGAAGGUUUUUAAUGUUAUAUGUUGUAUAAAAUUAAUGCAUUAAUUUAUUAUUAUGAAAUCAAAACAACCCUACCUUACCCCGAAAAUAACACCUGUAGGUUUUUGUCAGUUGUCAGAUGGGCAUCUUGCUAUGUUGCCCAGGCCGGUUUCAAACUCUUGGAGCUCAAGCUACCUUCUGCCUCAGCCUCUAGAGCAGCUAAGACUACAAGUGUGCACCACCAUGUCCAGCUUAGGUGUCAGUUUGAUAUGAGUCAGUAGCAUAAGUAGUAAAGAAAACCUAAGGGGGCCUUGGGCUCUCCUACGGUCCAGGUCUACAAGCAAGCAGGUAAUGGUUUAGUUCUAUUUGGCUUGGUGAGGCCACAUCUGGACCAAAGUUAGACAGGCACACUGACACAUUUGAGCUCAUCCAGAGAGUAGACAAGGUGAUGCCAGGAGUCCACACUAUGUCAAGGAGGACUAGCUAAAGGGAGGGAAAAUGUUUAGGCUAGUAGAUGUAGAAAGAGGUGGUCCUCAAACUCUUGACGUUUUCAUGAGGGUGAAGAUAGUAGAUUUCAAGACACUGGAGUUAUUCAAGAGACUAAAUAUUCACUUUCCAGGGAUACUGUGAAAAAGAUUCACUGAGGAGGCAUUCGUUGGAACUAGAUUUUUUUUUUUUUUAAGAGACAGGGUUCUGCUGUGUUACCCAGGCUGGUCUCUAACUCCUAAGCUCAAGAGAUCCGCUUGCCUCAGCCUGCCAAAGUGAUGGGAUUACAGGGUAAGCCACGUGCCUGGCCUGGAACUAGAUUAUCUUAAAGUUAGUUUCCAACUAACUUUAUUUCAAUUUAUUUCAAGUUUCCUUGAAAUAAAUUGAGUUUUCAAUUUAUUUCUGGUUCCUUGGCCUCAACCAGAUUUAUUGAAAUUUAAGUCCCUAAAACUGUCUUUUGUUUUAUUAUAGAGAGGAUAUUAACCAGAAGGUUACAUACUACAAUCUGGAAGGAAUAAUCUCAAUAUCAUGAGUGCCAAUUAAGUGCCUCAGAGAAUACAAAGGUGACCAUAACUGGAAUGCUUAACAAGUACCAACUGAAGAAAUGUAAUGAAAAUUAAAGUUUAAUUUGUUUUCCCCU
rnacentral:lncRNA from 1 species